GUGGUGGCUCCUGUGAGCUAUGGAGAUGGUUCAACUUCCAGAGGCUUCCUCAUAAAUUUUUGGAAUUUUUGAGACACAGAUAAACUUCGGGUGAUCGAGAUCAACUAUUUUCCUGCAUCCAGCAGCCACAAUAGUCGACGGUGUACUGCCACAGGAGGAGUUAUUUUACAGAGCAACCUGUUUUCUUCCUCGCAGGUUUAACGUCAAUUAUUUAAUUGUUUUACUAUCUUUUAUAAAUUAAAAAUCUAGAACUCCGCAUGUGUUAGAAAUAGUGUGGACCUUGGUAGAGGUUGUGUUAACUUAAAUUUUUAAGAUUAAUAAAUGAAGAUUUGUAUGGUAUUUAAA